UAUCGAACCUGUGACAUCUACUGU
rnacentral:siRNA from 1 species